rnacentral:rRNA from 1 species
AGCGAACGCUGGCGGCAGGCCUAACACAUGCAAGUCGAACGAACCUUUCGGGGUUAGUGGCGGACGGGUGAGUAACACGUGGGAACGUGCCUUUAGGUUCGGAAUAACUCAGGGAAACUUGUGCUAAUACCGAAUGUGCCCUUCGGGGGAAAGAUUGAUCGCCUUUAGAGCGGCCCGCGUCUGAUUAGCUAGUUGGUUGAGGUAAUGGCUCACCAAGGCGACGAUCAGUAGCUGGUCUGAGAGGAUGAUCAGCCACAUUGGGACUGAGACACGGCCCAAACUCCUACGGGAGGCAGCAGUGGGGAAUCUUGCGCAAUGGGCGAAAGCCUGACGCAGCCAUGCCGCGUGAAUGAUGAAGGUCUUAGGAUUGUAAAAUUCUUUCACCGGGGACGAUAAUGACGGUACCCGGAGAAGAAGCCCCGGCUAACUUCGUG